GGGCACCCCCACGGGAGUCCCACGGCACGGGACUGAGAUCGGGCUGAUGCCGCCUGACAACCGUCUGAACCUGUCCGGAUCAUGCCGGCGAAGGAAGAAGGAGAGUGAUGGCG
rnacentral:ncRNA from 2 species